rnacentral:rRNA from 1 species
GAUGAACGCUGGCGGCGUGCCUAAUACAUGCAAGUCGAGCGAACAGACGAGGAGCUUGCUCCUCUGACGUUAGCGGCGGACGGGUGAGUAACACGUGGAUAACCUACCUAUAAGACUGGGAUAACUUCGGGAAACCGGAGCUAAUACCGGAUAAUAUAUUGAACCGCAUGGUUCAAUAGUGAAAGACGGUUUUGCUGUCACUUAUAGAUGGAUCCGCGCCGCAUUAGCUAGUUGGUAAGGUAACGGCUUACCAAGGCAACGAUGCGUAGCCGACCUGAGAGGGUGAUCGGCCACACUGGAAAUGAGAAACGGUCCAGACUCCUACGGGAGGCAGCAGUAGGGAAUCUUCCGCAAUGGGCGAAAGCCUGACGGAGCAACGCCGCGUGAGUGAUGAAGGUCUUCGGAUCGUAAAACUCUGUUAUUAGGGAAGAACAAAUGUGUAAGUAACUAUGCACGUCUUGACGGUACCUAAUCAGAAAGCCACGGCUAACUACGUG